rnacentral:tRNA from 1 species
UGAGAUAAAGCCAAAGAGAGGCAAACCUUUGUUACAGGUUGAACUGAUUUAUUUCUAUCUUAA